rnacentral:sRNA from 1 species
AAACUUCCAGAAGACAAGAAAGAAGGACGCUGUCUCCUUGCUGGAAUGUUCUUUCUGAGCUUGGGUCACUGUAGCGAGAGGCCAUCGUGUGUUUCUGGUUUCAUUUCUUUGAUCCUGACGGUGGUGAGCUGCAGACAGGAUAAGAGGAAAAUGGUACUCCCUUAAUUCAAUGACAGCAGCUCUGGAUUUUACAGUCUGCAUCCUCAAUAAAGUCCUCUUGAUAAAAAAAUCCAGCUAGCCAAAUAAAGCAACUGUGAUGAGAAUUUAACAAAAAACCCUCUAAAAUAGUUUUCACUGAAUUAAAGAUAGUUCAGAGAAAUAAAAUAGUUAAUUUAGCUUUGCUUUGGAUAAUAAAAAAUUUCUUUCUUCUUUUUGGUUUUAAAAGGAUAGGGUCUUUCGUAUCCCAGGCUUGCCUGAACUUCUAUGUAGCCGAGGAUGGCCUUGAAUUUCUGAUCCAUCUGCCCCCACCUCCCAGGUGCUGGAACAGGUAGCUAUGACACCUAGACUCUGGAGUGCUGGAGAUGGGACGCAGGGCCUGUUUCAAAAGCAAAAACAACCCCCAAACAUUUCUACAACCUUUAUUUUGAAUUUCUAAGUACAAAGGUCACGCGCCCAGGUUCUCUUGGACGACACUCAUUCACACCCUGUCCUGUUGCACACUUCCACAGCGCCCCCAGCACUGUCCCAGAACAAAUGCUACGUGUUUGGGGCCAAGCUUCAUCCCUUGCAAGCAGAAACCCAGGGGCAGUGGGAGCAGGUGCUUUUCUUGGGUUGCUUCCUGAGGUGAGGUCCUGCUAUGUAACCCUGCCAGCUUUGACCUCUCUGUGAUCUUCCUGCCUCAGCCUUCUGACAGCUUGGACUACACAUGCCACCAUGUUUGUUUUGGGAACAGGGCCUUUAGGGGUUUGCA